rnacentral:lncRNA from 1 species
UUUAUGAUAUCGAAUGUAUAGUUCCCCUGUUCUUUUAUGAUGUUAUAUCACAUCCUUGCUUAUGAUCUUAUCUCUUAACAAGUAUUGAAGCAUGGAUUUUAUUUUCUUGUAAUUGCAAAAUAUGAGUUGUGCACGUAUUUUGUGACUAGAUAAUAAUGAAAAAUUAUAGGUGUAAGCAACAUUGUUAAAUUAAAGUGCUUAUCGGGUGUCACGAAAAAUGGUGUACAGACUUAGUACAUAGUGUAAACCCUACCGUUGACGUUACCCUUAGCCGAAUGAGACUGAGAAGUCACAUACCGAAAAAGGUUAUGAAUUAUUUUGAUUAUACUCAUUACCAGACGGAAUAUUGAAACGGUUGUAUGUUUGGCGCCCAUUACCGAACAAGGUAUCGAGAUGGUUGUUUGAUUAAUUAAAUGGAUAUUUGGUCCACGUGUAAUGAGGACCCUUAUAGACUCCCAACAGCACCGGUAAGUGAGUAAAAAUGAUAAAAGUUGAUUAUUGUUGGUCUUUUAGAAUGCUUAAUGUGAAUUACUAU